ensembl:lncRNA
CUUCAUCUGUUUUAUUUUUAUAUGUAGUGAAUAUAUGGUUUGAAAAAUAACAAUUUUGAUGUUAUUGAAUCCUUACACAGUAAUUUACACACAGUUAUUUCCCCAAUUUUAUUUAACAUUUGGUGAAAUUACAGUUACAGGAAACACUUCAACUCAAAUAAAUGCAAUUACAAAAUGUGUUUUUAGAAAUGUAUUAUACAUUUAAUAUAUUCCAUUACUUUUGGGAAGACAACUCGUAAGUAAACCAAUUUCAAGCCACAAAACAGCUUUUCCGCUGGAGUAAAGAUAUGUAUUUGAGUCUAUCUGCAAAUUUAGAUGUAUAAGUUGCAUAUCCACCGUGACUAAGGUGACUAAAAAAAAUAAUAAAAUUCAAUAAAUACGAGGAGUUUUAAUGGAUACGCAAUAAAGAGUGUUUAACGUUUCUACCAGCAGGUGGCCGUCUGCGUGUAUUUAAACCAUUUGUUGUUAUCUACACUGUACCCCUGAAACGAGAAAGGUGAGUCUAAUGAGGGGUUGACAGCUUCAGGACUGUAAGUGCAGCUGGUUGGGGAUGUGUGACCACAGCGGCGCAUCAAUCAGAACGCAGAGGCAGAUGUGAUUCCUCCAGGAUGCGGAUGUCUUUGUGGAUGACGCGCCGCUAAUACCAACAGGAAAAGUGAGCAUAACCAUCUUCAGCUAACUAUGGGAAGGCUGUGCCAGAGCUUUCACCAUAUCCCAGCAUCCUCACAUAAUCUGCCAUCCGGUCAUGUAAACAUCUCCGUUCAGUGUGUUUCAGAUCAAACUAACUAUAAAAUAAGUUAAAACAAAAACAUCCUAAAGACAGUAGAAGGCUAAACGAGGUGUUAAACGAGGACAAAUGGUGCCGCAGUGGUGGAAAACAUUGUUCAACGUGGUGGGUGAAACCAUGGUGUGCGUGUGGCGGCGUGCCGUUUCUCCGUGUCUCUCUGCGCCGUACACGAGAAACAGACCUCCGGGAUCUACUGCUCCCCUCUAAUUAACCCAGCCAGGGUUUUAAUGUGGCUGAACGCACUCACCACGGAGGGAAAUGUCCAAGUCGGCACCGCCACGCCCGAUGGGGACCACCGUGGAGACCAACAGCUGAGUGCUCGAAUCGUCCCUCUCCUCCCUGUCACUUCCUGCUUCGUGCUGAAAGUGCUGAUGCUCGCUGCACACAGCCGGCUCCUGCAGCUUUACUGUCAGUCUUCGCGUUCAAAAACGUUAUGUUACGAAGUGUUAUCCAAUGAGGUUUUAGUUGUUAUCCGAUUUACAAAUAUGUAAGACCUUUUUAGUCAAAGAGAAACCUUGACUUGUCCCAACACACGGACGCGGGCCUUUCGGCCAGGCUUCAGACCACAGCGUCAGGGUUAAAUUCCCGUGGGAUUUUUACAUGCCGAUGCAUCUGGAAUGAAAGCGAGACAGCUGACUACCUGCCAGAGGGAUUGUAAAGAAUUCUGGUUCAUCGAAAAACAAGCAGACAAUAAAAAAUGGGCCUCGUUUAUAGAGCCAUUCAUGUUCAUAAGGACCUCCUUUACAAUGGCUUUUGCAUGAAGACCCACCAAAUCAAACAAGGGUGGCAUUACCAAGAAACACAAUCGGCCAAGAUUUUGCACUAUUUCAAUAUUACACAGAUGUAAUGAAUGUAUUGUCAACCCGGAACGAGUCCCUCCUGAUUGCAACCCGGUUAUUCACAAUAAGUGCGAGGUGAAAAUCGCAAUUUGUCAUUUAGCACGAGCCCAACAACGGAUGAGUCACUCUAUAUUUGUAAUCCACUUCCCAGCAAUUCUUCAGCCGCAGGGCUUCACUUUUCCAACUUGCCUUCAUCGUGCGUCUUACGGAGAGGACGUUGUUAUGACCACAACCCACGACAACAAAGAGGAAAAGCCUCUGGGAACAUCAUUUGCGUGUCUUUCAAAUAUAAAACUACAAUUUUCAUGCAACAAGGGCUGAUUAGAGAUUUUUUGUGACCCUAAAUGUUUGGGAGGUUUGGAAGUUGGAGGAUGAUACAGAAAAGCGGUGCCUCCUGCAAAAAAAAGAAAACAGAAAAAGGCCUGGCCUUGAUAGAAAUGAGUUAUCAAGGUACGCUUAUCAAGGCUCCGGUUGCCUCUUCUUCAGACUUUGUUUCCUUGCUGAGCAAGAACCAGUCAGUCGAGCGUAUUGUGACUAUAUUCAAACCACGAUUCACCGUAAAAGGGAACAUUAAGGUGUAACUUCUCUCGAUACUUCUCUCACACUUCCCCUCUAAAAAGCAAGUUAAUUACAGGUGUGUCCCUCACUUCUACGCCCUCUUCUUUCACAAUGGGAAAGAGACAACUCUUUUAUUUAUCGCCUGUUUUAGGUAAGCGCCUGCAAAGACCAGCGAGACCUCAGACCGUUUUUUCCUUCACUUUUGCACUGCGGAUUGGAUAGAAUGGGAGAAUGAACCACCUAGCAGUGAACUAGAUCUACAUCACAGGAUCAUCCAUCCUUUAACAGCAAACAUUCCCGUUUU